rnacentral:rRNA from 1 species
CCUACGGGCGGCAGCAGUGAGGAAUAUUGGUCAAUGGACGAGAGUCUGAACCAGCCAAGUCGCGUGAAGGAUGAAUGCCCUAUGGGUUGUAAACUUCUUUUAUAUGGGAAUAAAACAGGGGAUGCAUACCCUCUCGGCUGUACCAUAUGAAUAAGGAUCGGCUAACUCCGUGCCAGGAGCCGCGGUAAUACGGAGGAUCCGAGCGUUAUCCGGAUUUAUUGGGGUUAAAGGGAGCGUAGGUGGAUUGUUAAGGCAGUUGUGAAAGAUUGCGGCUCAACCGUAAAAUUGCAGUUGAAACUGGCAGUCUUGAGUACAGUAGAGGUGGGCGGAAUUCGUGGUGUAGCGGUGAAAUGCUUAGAUAUCACGAAGAACUCCGAUUGCGAAGGCAGUUCACUGGACUGCAACUGACACUGAUGCUCGAAAGUGUGGGUAUCAAACAGGAUUAGAUACCCUUGUAGUC